CAAAUCACUGAAAAAAAAACGCAGGCAAAUUUAAUCAAAAGGGGAAUAGGGUUUCGCAAUUCACCAAUUUUAUUCGGUGGAAGAUUAUUCAGUAUUUGGAUUUCUUCUAAAUUGAAGAGGGAGUGAGCAAUAGACGUGGAUAAGGCAAAAAUGAUGCCACUCUUGUACUAUAACAU